CCACAACUGGUCCAACAACUCAUCGAUCCUUGGCAAAGGGUACUUGUUCUUCACAGUGACCCGGUUCAACCCCCGGUCGUCAAUACAUAAGCGGAAACUCCCGUCCUUCUUCUUCACAAAUAACACCGGUGCUCCCCAAGGUGAAGUACUAGGACGAAUGAAUCCCUUACCCAACAAAUCCUCUAGCUGCUUCUUUAGCUCUGCCAUCUCUGCUGGAGCCAUCCUGUAGGGUGCCUUAGACAACGGCGCUGUCCCUGGUUCCAACUCAAUCGUGAAAGGAUCAGACCGUGAUGGUGGUAAUCCCUGCAACGAUUGAAACACAUCCUCCCGAAUGUCGCUCACUGCUACCUGCCCCACAGACUCCGGCAUAGAUACCGGCAUCCCUUCUCGAUCAUUUUCUCUGCCUGCACUGCUGAGAUGACGAGACUCCCUGAGGUAGGUCUCACUCCCUGAUAAACCAACCUUCCCUCUGGCCGCUCAAAAGAAACUCUCCCACGGUGGGAGUCAAGAUGUACUCUGUAAUGAUCCAACCAAUCCAUUCCCAGAAUAACAUCAUACAACUCUACAAGGCUGAUAAUCAAAUCUGCUGGCAUUGACCCCCCUGCAAUCUGAAUAUCUACACCCUUCGCUCUCCCAAGAACCGCUAGAAACUGCCCUCCAGCAACCUUGACGUGGAGAUGUCCCCUCUCCCUACAGUGGUAGCACUCCCUCAUCUCAGCUCGCUGCGUGCAAUCCGCCACCUUGUGGUCAAGGCUCCCACAAGAAAAACAUCCUGCACGACCACCCUGUCCAGCUCUGGAAGGAUGAUCCCACUUCCUCUUCUGCCCCUGUGCAGGCUUGCCGCCCUUGCUAGGUGUCACCUGCUGCUGAGUCUUCUUCGGUUGUACCGCUGGACUCACUCCCACCACCUGCCUCUGAAGGUCU
rnacentral:sRNA from 1 species